rnacentral:lncRNA from 1 species
CUGCUGUGAGUGUAACAUCCACAGCACACUGAGGCUCUUUCAUCCUGGCACAGGGAAUUGCCAGCUCCCCCCAGGUGGGGGGGAUUAAACACAAAAUGUAAAGAAUUGCACCAGCUUUGUCCAGGAAUGAGCUGCAAUAGGGAGAACUUGGUGCGAUGCUGUGGAACAUAGUUUGUAAGACAAAGAUACUACUGCAGGGAGUCUGAGGAACUUACCACAAGGAAGGCUGCAAGCAAGAUCUGAAAUGUUUUUGUUUGGAACCUAAGCGAUGCUUGAGGGCAGAAAAUGCACUUCUGAUACUCCAGUCUGCUCAGCCAUCUCCGAUAAAGAAAACCGCCAUCACCACUGCAUCACCAGCCUGUUCCCUGCCGCAGAGCUCCUCUGUCAAAAAAUCAAAUGCUGUUUUAGUCUGAGACCUUGCAUCUCUUUCUUGUCAUAGACCACAGACACUUUACUGAAGAUGCAAGUUAACAGUCUACCAAACACACUGGCUUUCAGUCAUGGUGGUAACUUUCACUCUUCUACAAGAAGCAAACUCUUUUGUCUUCCGGUCUUCUUAGUACUAAUGCAGAAAUUGCUUGGGUGGAUCUGAUCUGUUGUUGGAUUACUCUAGCAUGCUCUUACCCUGUGGAGGUGUGGUCAACAAAGCCCUUACUAUGAAUAAUUUCACUGUAGGCAGUCUUUAUUUUCAGUGCCACAAGGUGGUGGUUAAGUACAGAAGCAGAGGAUGUCUCCAGUAGCUCUUUUAAAAUGCAUAUUACCACUGCAAAUCUUAACUAGUUUCAUUACUUACAUUUCUGUUAAAAAUUUCUAAGCUCUCAUUGAUGUUCUUUGAAAAAACCUGGGAAGAAAAGAAACGGAGAAGUAAAAUCGUGACAAAGCCUUGAAAUUUCUUUAGUGUAUUAGCUGUUCUCCUUAUUCCUCCUGGAUUGCUGCAAAUCAAUGAGAAUAUGUUUUCCACUUAUAAUGAAAUCUAAGGAUGAAAUUCGAUAGAAAUAUGCUUUCAGUGAUACUUUUUUACAAACUUCAACUGAUGAACAGAUGCACAAUGUAAAUGUUUUUAUUUGUACCAUUUUCCAUUUUGCAUUUCUGUGCAGCUCAGAGUAAACCUUCAGUCAGUGUGUUCUUUGGAAUGAGCUUGAAGUGCUUGUUCUAUAUUUUAUACUGAGCUUAGGCUCCUGUCUGCUGCUGACAAAUGGUUUGUUAACAUAUUGUUUUUGAAGCACAAUUUGCAUUUCUGUGAACGGGAGAUUAAGUACUGUGUGUAGAUUAGGAAUAAUUUAUGUCUAAUUAAUAUUAGAUUUUUUUUUCUCUUCUGCUUCAGAUUUUGUUUUGCAGGAGAA